UUUUUUCCCAGAAUGCCAAACUGGGGAGGAGGCAAGAAAUGCGGGGUGUGCCAGAAGACAGUCUACUUUGCUGAGGAGGUCCAGUGCGAGGGCAACAGCUUCCACAAAUCCUGCUUCCUGUGCAGUGAGUACUGCCCAGGCCUGCUGUUGCUGCCAGGGGACCUGGACAGGCCUGCCCCCACAAGCUCGCCCUGUCGACACCCCAGGGAACUGCUCCCUGGGGAUGUAAACAGCUUGACAUUUGGCCGAAGCACAGCUGGGGAGGAAAACACUUAAGGGCCUCUUUGUUCCCUUCAGAAGCUGUUUUCUGAGGGGUGAACUGGCCCGAG
rnacentral:lncRNA from 1 species